UGAACACUGCUUUGUCUGCAGUUUCUGUUGGCUGAGGAAAAGAAAGAGCAAGCAGCUCCUGAACCGGUUGAAGAUGCUGGAGAUGUUGAUGACUUGCUGGACAUGAUGUAAGAAAAGAAGCAGGAGGAGUGUUGGCGGAAAUCUGAGGAAUGUGGUCCUUGAACCCACCCAGAACAACCCAGUUAAACCGUCCUUUUGUGCUCCUUCUUCCACUGGAAGUCCCCUUUACAGCUCACAUUUUACAUUGCAUUUAACUGAAUAAUUCACACAAAAAAACUGUUCAAAAUCUUUGUGUCUGAUUCUAGAUGUAUAAUUCCUGUCAUCAUGUGAAUAUUUUGUAAUUCAAUCUCCAGGGUUCCAGUGCACUAAAAACGUUAACAUCCAAUGUACUAAUGGUUUAUUAUGUGAAAUCAGUGAGUGAAAAAAUGCUUAAAAGCAGAGCCAGUGCUUUUUUGUAGAAAAAAAUAAAUAAAAAUGUGUUAAAACAAAAA